AGGGGAAGAAAUAGAUCACAUCAUCUGUCUGUCCACAGCCUUCCUCUGGGCAUCUAAAAGGUGGCCCUUGUGUCAUGCUCAAACCGCCACAGAAGAAAUGGGAGUGGAGAACACAGAGGAAUCUGCCAGGACUUCAGCAUGGUUCUCUUAUUCUGCUUGGUAUGAUGAGAAGCUUUCAGUGAAGACUGGAGUUCCCCGGUUGUUUUCCCUCCAGUCGCCAGGCAAUGGAAUAACUCUCGGAAGGGGUAGCGAGCAAAAGACCAGCGUUCAGCGAGGAGCCUGAGCGGCUGUACGCUGAAGUAGGAGCACUGGCUUUUGGAAAAAUCUGCGGACUACCGGGCGAGUAAAGAGAGAGAGAAAGCCUACCGCUGUUUCGGUCGAGCAGAGAACGAGAUCUCCGGCGGCUGAAGAGUGGUUCUUGAAUCGGACAGAUACGGUUCCAUCCUCUUUUCUGCCAAUCACGCAAAGAUGAGGACAACACCCAAACUGGCACGAUAACAACGCCGUAUAAGAAGAGGACCCAAUUCUUCCAAAAGGCCUUGAUUUUGCUCCGCCGCGGUCCGCGCAGAGGCUGCCGCAGCUAUAUGGACAGCAACAGGUGUUUUCCCUGCCAUGGUUGUGAUAAUUGGAUUUUCUGGACACCUGUAUGAGUGCAGUAUAUCCAGCGGAUUAUAACCAGGGAGAGGGUGUCCUUCUGAUGCUCUUGAUGCACAUCCAAGGGUGAGUGGGUAAUGGAGAUGGAGGUCUUUCUGCUGUAACCCUGGCCUCCAAGAUCAGCUUCAAAGACAGGACCUAAGGAGAGAUCAGUCACGCAAAACACAUCUACACAACACUGCUUCUGCUGCAAACGUGAUGGCAUGAUUUGUCUCUGUGAAGACAAAACAAUAUACACCUUGUGAAAUUCUCAGAUCAUGGUUCAUUUUGAAACUGUUAAAACUGAAACAGUGAAACUUUUUACCAAUAGAGGUUACGCUGCUUAUGAUAUGAACUGUAUCGUCCAUUCAUGUAUUGGAUUUCUUGAUGAUACAUAUCUUCAAUCUGUGAUCAUAUUAAAUCAAUGAAAUCAU